AGAGUUUGAUCCUGGCUCAGGAUGAACGCUAGCGAUAGGCUUAACACAUGCAAGUCGAGGGGCAGCAUUAUUUUAGCUUGCUAAGAUAGAUGGCGACCGGCGCACGGGUGCGUAACGCGUAUGCAACCUGCCUGUAAUUAGGGAAUAACCCGGUGAAAGUCGGACUAAUACCCUAUAUUCUUCUUUCUCCGCAUGGGGGAGGACGGAAAGAUUUAUUGAUUACAGAUGGGCAUGCGUCCCAUUAGCUGGUUGGUAAGGUAACGGCUUACCAAGGCAACGAUGGGUAGGGGGACUGAGAGGUUGACCCCCCACACUGGUACUGAGACACGGACCAGACUCCUACGGGAGGCAGCAGUGAGGAAUAUUGGUCAAUGGGCGAGAGCCUGAACCAGCCAAGUCGCGUGAAGGACGACGGUUCUAUGGAUUGUAAACUUCUUUUGUGGAGGAAUAACGGCAGCUACGUGUAGCUGAGAUGCAUGUACUCUACGAAUAAGUAUCGGCUAACUCCGUGCCAGCAGCCGCGGU
rnacentral:rRNA from 1 species